CUGCUCGCUUUGGCAGCACAUAUACUAAAAAUUGGGAUUGAUACAGAGAAGACUAGCAUGGCUUCUGCACAAGGAUGACAUGUACAUUCAUGAAGCAUUCCAUAUAUUU
ensembl:snRNA U6 U6 spliceosomal RNA